AAUGCUCUUAACGACUUCUAAGUACCUCUGUACCUAGCAGAGAGGGAGGGGGCGCGGGAGGGAGAUCAGAACAUCGCAAUGGCGAUCUCUGCACAAAACCUUCACCGACUUUCGAAUCCAAAACCUAACUCAUCCCUCCGAUCUUCUCUUUUCCUAACACUCGUCGUCUUUCUAUCCCUCACCGCCGGCACCCUCUUCCUUGUACCCUUCCGCAACCCCGCCUCCACCGCCUCCGCCUUCUCAUUCUCCUCCGCCACCACCAUCUCGCCGGAUAGAUACUUUCUCAACUUACGAUUCCCUCACCGACGCGUCCUUGCCGUCAAAUCCGACCCCCUUCGAAACCGCAUCGACCAGAUCCGGAAGCAGGCAGCCGAUCACGGUAGUCUCUCUUCUUCCUACGCUUCCUACGCCCGCAAGCUGAAGCUCGAGAACUCCAAACAACUGCGCCUCUUCGCUGAGAUCUCACGCAACUUCUCCCUUCUCAUUUCCGACCACCGGCAUCUCCUCGACCCCUCUAACCCUAUCGACGAGACCUCCCUCCGUCGCUUCGAGCGCGAUGUCAAGGACCGCAUACGUACCGCUCGGACUCUCAUCGCCGACGCCAAGGAGUCAUUCGAUAACCAGCUCAAGAUCCAGAAGCUCAAGGACACGAUAUUUGCCGUUAAUGAGCAGCUCACUAAAGCGAAGAAGCAGGGCGCCUUUUCGAGCUUGAUUGCGGCCAAAUCAAUCCCUAGGAGUCUUCACUGCCUCGCAAUGCGGCUAAUGGAGGAGCGGAUCUCCCAUUUCGACCGCUACGCUGAUCCGGAAUCACCUCCGCCGGCACUUGAGAACCCUCGGCUCUAUCACUAUGCCAUCUUCUCUGACAACGUUCUUGCUGCUUCUGUUGUUCUCAAUUCGGCCGUUAAGAACGCUAAGGAGCCGUCGAAGCACGUGUUCCACGUCGUCACCGAUCGAAUGAAUCUUGGUGCGAUGCAGGUUAUGUUCAAGCUCAAGGACUAUGCCGGUGCUCAUAUAGAGGUCCGCGCAUUUGAGGACUAUAAAUUUCUCAAUUCCUCUUAUGUUCCUGUUCUCCGGCAGCUUGAGUCGGCAAACUUGCAGAGGUUUUACUUUGAGAACAAGCUUGAGAAUGCUACCAAGGACACAACAAAUAUGAAGUUUAGGAACCCUAAGUACUUAUCGAUGCUUAAUCACCUAAGGUUUUAUCUUCCGGAGAUGUAUCCUAAGCUGCACCGGAUUCUGUUCUUGGAUGAUGAUGUAGUGGUACAGAAGGAUCUGACUGCAUUGUGGAAGAUUGAUAUGGAUGGGAAGGUGAAUGGAGCUGUCGAAACUUGCUUUGGAUCGUUUCAUCGUUAUGCACAGUACAUGAAUUUCUCACACCCGCUGAUCAAGGAGAAGUUUGAUCCGAAAGCCUGUGGAUGGGCUUAUGGGAUGAAUUUCUUUGAUUUGGAUGCAUGGAGGAAAGAGAAGUGCACUGAGCAGUACCAUUACUGGCAGAAUUUGAAUGAGAAUCGUACCUUGUGGAAAUUGGGGACUUUGCCUCCAGGUUUGAUCACCUUUUACUCGACCACAAAGCCUCUCGACAAAUCCUGGCACGUGCUCGGACUCGGCUAUAAUCCAAGCAUAAGCAUGGAGGAGAUUCAGAAUGCUGCAGUUGUUCAUUUUAAUGGAAAUAUGAAACCAUGGCUCGACAUUGGUAUGAACCAAUUUAAGCCGCUCUGGUCAAAGUAUGUUGAUUUUGACAACGAUUUCAUUCAGCUCUGUAAUUUCGGAGCAUAAAGAAGAAUGAGUCAUUUACAAAGCUUCUCUGCAGAGAUUAAAACACACAGAUGGAAUUAUUUGUUUGUGACACAACUAUGUUAAUGGAGAUACUUCCGCCCCAGCCGACGGGAGAGCCAAUCCUGCAGACGACAAACAGUUCUAAGGAGGACCAGUCUGGACCCUCUAGACUCAGCCAGACCAGCGGGCAGCCUGGCCAAGUUAGCUGGCUCAGCCUUGAGAAGCGGAAUCCCUAGGAGAUGUUAUGGACUGUUCAGACUCUCACGAUUCGAAGUAUUCAUUAUCUAGAAAUAUCUCCAUCUUUUUCUUCUUAUGCAUGAAAUCCAUCACAACCGUCACCCACGAUUCAAAGACCUCCAUCCGGCCUGCACACCCAAGAUUCAGGCGUGGAGAAUUUCUCCAUCGAUGUGGUUGCUUGCGUCAACAGCCUUGUGAAGAAUGUCUUCCGAAGGGGAAGACGACGAGAUUGGCGCACUAGAAUCCGGAAAGCCGGCCCUUGGAGGACAAGAGACAGGUUUUCUCAGUGAUAAAUGUGGACUCGGUACUGGACAAGGCUG